GAUGAACGCUAGCGGCAGGCUUAAUACAUGCAAGUCGAGGGGCAGCACAUGAGUAGCAAUACGAUGGUGGCGACCGGCGCACGGGUGCGUAACGCGUAUGCAAUCUACCUUUAACAGAGGGAUAGCCCCGAGAAAUCGGGAUUAAUACCUCAUAAAAUUUUCACAUGGCAUCAUGAGAGAAUCAAAGCUGAGGCGGUUAAAGAUGAGCAUGCGUAACAUUAGCUAGUUGGAGAGGUAACGGCUCACCAAGGCGACGAUGUCUAGGGGUUCUGAGAGGAUGAUCCCCCACACUGGUACUGAGACACGGACCAGACUCCUACGGGAGGCAGCAGUAAGGAAUAUUGGUCAAUGGGCGGGAGCCUGAACCAGCCAUGCCGCGUGCAGGAAGACGGCCUUAUGGGUUGUAAACUGCUUUUGUCGGGGAAUAAAACUUUCUACGAGUAGAGAGCUGAAGGUACCCGAAGAAUAAGCAUCGGCUAACUCCG
rnacentral:rRNA from 1 species